UACGAAGGGGGCUAGCGUUGCUCGGAAUCACUGGGCGUAAAGGGUGCGUAGGCGGGUCUUUAAGUCAGGGGUGAAAUCCUGGAGCUCAACUCCAGAACUGCCUUUGAUACUGAGGAUCUUGAGUUCGGGAGAGGUGAGUGGAACUGCGAGUGUAGAGGUGAAAUUCGUAGAUAUUCGCAAGAACACCGGUGGCGAAGGCGGCCCACUGGCUCGAUACUGACGCUGAGGUGCGAAAGCGUGGGGAGCAAACAGG
rnacentral:rRNA from 1 species